GCUGGGCACGGUGGCUCAUGCCUGUAUUCCCAGCACUUUGGAGGCUGAGGCGGGUGGAUCACCUGAGGUCAGGAGUUCGGGACCAGCCUGACCAGCAUGGUGAAACCCCGUCUCUA
rnacentral:SRP_RNA from 1 species